rnacentral:piRNA from 1 species
UCCAAAGCUCUGGACGUGUAUCUUGUGGG